UACGAAGGGGGCUAGCGUUGUUCGGAAUUACUGGGCGUAAAGCGCACGUAGGCGGGUUUGUAAAUAGGGGGUGAAAUCCCAGGGCUCAACCCUGGAACUGCCUUCUAGACUGCAAGCCUGGAGGUCAGGAGAGGCGAGUGGAAUACCGAGUGUAGAGGUGAAAUUCGUAGAUAUUCGGUGGAACACCAGUGGCGAAGGCGACUCGCUGGACUGAUACUGACGCUGAGGUGCGAAAGCGUGGGGAGCAAACAGG
rnacentral:rRNA from 1 species